rnacentral:rRNA from 1 species
GGAUGAACGCUGGCGGCGUGCUUAACACAUGCAAGUCGAACGGAAAGGCUCCUGCUUGCAGGGGUACUCGAGUGGCGAACGGGUGAGUAACACGUGGGUGGUCUGCCCUGCACUUCGGGAUAAGCCUGGGAAACUGGGUCUAAUACCGGAUAGGACCACAUUUUGGAUGGUGUGGUGGAAAGUUUUUCGGUGUGGGAUGAGCUCGCGGCCUAUCAGCUUGUUGGUGGGGUAAUGGCCUACCAAGGCGUCGACGGGUAGCCGGCCUGAGAGGGUGUACGGCCACAUUGGGACUGAGAUACGGCCCAGACUCCUACGGGAGGCAGCAGUGGGGAAUAUUGCACAAUGGGCGCAAGCCUGAUGCAGCGACGCCGCGUGGGGGAUGACGGCCUUCGGGUUGUAAACUCCUUUCGCUAGGGACGAAGCGUUUUUGUGACGGUACCUGGAGAAGAAGCACCGGCUAACUACGUG